rnacentral:rRNA from 1 species
AACGAACGCUGGCGGCGUGCCUAACACAUGCAAGUCGAACGAGAAAGGGGCUUCGGCCCUGAGUAAAGUGGCGCACGGGUGAGUAACACGUAGGUAACCUGCCUCUAAGAUCGGGAUAACCCGUCGAAAGACGAGCUAAUACCGGAUAAGACCACAGUCUCCUCGGAGAUCGGGGCCAAAGGUAGCCUCUACUUGUAAGCUAUCACUUAGAGAUGGGCCUGCGUACCAUUAGCUAGUUGGGGGGUAAUGGCCUACCAAGGCAAAGAUGGUUAGCUGGUCUGAGAGGAUGAUCAGCCACACUGGAACUGAGACACGGUCCAGACUCCUACGGGAGGCAGCAGUGGGGAAUAUUGCGCAAUGGGCGAAAGCCUGACGCAGCAACGCCGCGUGAGUGAUGAAGGCC